AAGUAGCCACCUCUCAAAUUUGGUCAUAGAAAGAUGUAGGUUUGACUCAUCAAAUAGUGUACGUAAUUAUGUUGCCUUACUUUGACUCGCUUCUUCAUUACUUUAUUUUGGUUUUGAAUUGCCACUCCCGCCUUACUUUCUUUUCCUUUUCGCCAUCUUUUUUUUUUUUCGAUUUUGCAUGAUUGCCUUAUUUUUCUUUUACUUACAAACUUUUGUAAAAUACUAAUGGUAAAUUAAUCUGGAAACCGGAGAUCGGUUUUAUGUAGCUUAUGGAUUGUGGGGAGGUAAAACGUCUGAAGAGAACUCAUGCUCACGAGAAGUAGCUUCUUCUGUGCGUUUACGGC